UUUACUCUGUGUUCGGUGGAC
rnacentral:piRNA from 1 species